AUUGAACGCUGGCGGCAUGCCUAACACAUGCAAGUCGAACGGCAGCAUGGCUUGUAGCAAUACAAGCUGAUGGCGAGUGGCGGACGGGUGAGUAACGCGUAGGAAUCUGCCCUGUAGAGGGGGACAACCCGGGGAAACCCGGGCUAAUACCGCAUAGAACUCUGAGGAGGAAAGCCAGUGGCAACAUUUGCGCUAUGGGAGGAGCCUGCGUCCGAUUAGCUAGUUGGUGGGGUAAGAGCUCACCAAGGCGAUGAUCGGUAGCUGGUCUGAGAGGAUGACCAGCCACACUGGGACUGAGAAACGGCCCAGACUCCUACGGGAGGCAGCAGUGGGGAAUAUUGGACGAUGGGGGCAACCCUGAUCCAGCAAUGCCGCGUGUGUGAAGAAGGCCUUCGGGUUGUAAAGCACUUUAGGCGGGGAAGAAGAUAUGGUGAUGAAUCAUAUUUGACGGUACCCGCAGAAUAAGCACCGGCUAACUCUGUGCCAGCAGCCGCCGUAA
rnacentral:rRNA from 1 species